rnacentral:sRNA from 14 species
AUUUAUCUCAGUGAUACCAAAGGAGGGAAAAGACAAAAUGGACUGCAAAGGUAUACCCUUUGCAGUCCAUUUUGUCUUUUCCCUCCUUUGGUAUCACUU